CACAGACACACACACAAGGGGAGGGAGAGAUAAAAAUGGAGAAGGAGUUAAGGAGAGCAGGCUUUGGGGAUUUUCUUAAUUAGGUUACUAGGGUGGGAAGUCGAAGUCUAACUUUGGGUGUUCUUCCCAGGGGCAGCACAGAUCUAAGGAGAACAGAGGGGAGAGGUUUCAGGUUUCACUUUCUGCCUUGCUCGCCUGCACAUCUCACUUCUGGGUUCCUCUCUUUGACUGCUGCCAUCACCACAGCAGCUGCCAUCACGGUUGUUAUCGUCUGCUGACUUCAGAGCCCAGCUUCUUUGGUCUUCUGAUAUGGACCCAGAAAUCCUUCAGAGCUCCAGUGCCAGAGUAGAGCCUCCAAGGUAUUUGGCACCAUGGGGUCUGGGAUUGAAUCGCCUUUCUGUAACCUCUGCCAGGUCACUGAUGAGAUUCAGAUGUAGAACCCUCAGCUGCUUCUCUAGCACCAAGUCUGUGCACGCUGCCAUGCUUCCCAC
rnacentral:lncRNA from 1 species